CCUACGGGAGGCAGCAGUGAGGAAUAUUGGUCAAUGGGCUUACGCCUGAACCAGCCAAGUCGCGUGAGGGAAGACUGCCCUAUGGGUUGUAAACUUCUUUUGUCAGGGAGCAAUUGGCGCUACGUGUAGCGUUAUCGAGAGUACCUGAAGAAAAGGCAUCGGCUAACUCCGUGCCAACGGCCGCGGCAGUACGAAGGUUGCGGGCGUUAUCCGGAGUUAUUGGGUUUAAAGGGUGCGUAGGCGGAAUGCCAAGUCAGCGGGAAAUUCGCGGGGCUAAACCUCGCUCCGCAGUUGAAACUGGCGUUCUUGAGUAGGGGAGAGGUAUGCGGAAUGCGUGGUGUAGCGGUGAAAUGCGUAGAUAUCACGAAGAACUCU
rnacentral:rRNA from 1 species